GAUGAAGAACGUAGCGAAAUGCGAUAAGUAAUGUGAAUUGCAGAAUUCAGUGAAUCAUCGAAUCUUUGAACGCACAUUGCGCCCGCCAGUAUUCUGGCGGGCAUGCCUGUCCGAGCGUCAUUUCUGCCCUCAAGCACGGCUUGUGUGUUGGGUGUGGUCCCCCCGGGGACCUGCCCGAAAGGCAGCGGCGACGUCCGUCUGGUCCUCGAGCGUAUAGGGCUCUGUCACUCGCUCGGGAAGGACCUGCGGGGGUUGGUCACCACUAUAUUUUACCACGGUUGACCUCGGAUCAGGUAGGAGUUACCCGCUGAACUUAAGCAUAUCAAUAAGCGGAGGA
rnacentral:misc_RNA from 1 species